rnacentral:rRNA from 1 species
UAGCCUUGACAUACUACAGAAUUUGACAGAGAUGUUGAAGUGCCUUCGGGAGCUGUAAUACAGGUGCUGCACGGCUGUCGUCAGCUCGUGUCGUGAGAUGUUGGGUUAAGUCCCGCAACGAGCGCAACCCUCGUCCUUAGUUACUAACGGUUCGGCUGAGGACUCUAAGGAGACUGCCUUCGUAAGGAGGAGGAAGGUGAGGACGACGUCAAGUCAUCAUGGCCCUUACGGCUAGGGCAACACACGUGCUACAAUGGCCAGGACAGUGAGACGCGAUACCGCGAGGUGGAGCAAAUCUAUAAACCUGGUCUCAGUUCGGAUUGUAGUCUGCAACUCGACUACAUGAAGCUGGAAUCACUAGUAAUCGUAGAUCAGCUAUGCUACGGUGAAUACGUUCCCGGGUCU